rnacentral:rRNA from 1 species
CGGCGGCCGUAACUAUAACGGUCCUAAGGUAGCGAAAUUCCUUGUCGGGUAAGUUCCGACCUGCACGAAUGGCGUAAUGAUGGCCAGGCUGUCUCCACCCGAGACUCAGUGAAAUUGAACUCGCUGUGAAGAUGCAGUGUACCCGCGGCAAGACGGAAAGACCCCGUGAACCUUUACUAUAGCUUGACACUGAACAUUGAGCCUUGAUGUGUAGGAUAGGUGGGAGGCUUUGAAGUGUGGACGCCAGUCUGCAUGGAGCCGACCUUGAAAUACCACCCUUUAAUGUUUGAUGUUCUAACGUGGGCCCCUUACCGGGGUUGCGGACAGUGUCUGGUGGGUAGUUUGACUGGGGCGGUCUCCUCCUAAAGAGUAACGGAGGAGCACGAAGGUUGGCUAAUCCUGGUCGGACAUCAGGAGGUUAGUGCAAUGGCAUAAGCCAGCUUGACUGCGAGCGUGACGGCGCGAGCAGGUGCGAAAGCAGGUCAUAGUGAUCCGGUGGUUCUGAAUGGAAGGGCCAUCGCUCAACGGAUAAAAGGUACUCCGGGGAUAACAGGCUGAUACCGCCCAAGAGUUCAUAUCGACGGCGGUGUUUGGCACCUCGAUGUCGGCUCAUCACAUCCUGGGGCUGAAGUAGGUCCCAAGGGUAUGGCUGUUCGCCAUUUAAAGUGGUACGCGAGCUGGGUUUAGAACGUCGUGAGACAGUUCGGUCCCUAUCUGCCGUGGGCGCUGGAGAACUGAGGGGGGCUGCUCCUAGUACGAGAGGACCGGAGUGGACGCAUCACUGGUGUUCGGGUUGUCAUGCCAAUGGCACUGCCCGGUAGCUAAAUGCGGAAGAGAUAAGUGCUGAAAGCAUCUAAGCACGAAACUUGCCCCGAGAUGAGUUCUCCCUGACUCCUUGAGAGUCCUGAAGGAACGUUGAAGACGACGACGUUGAUAGGCCGGGUGUGUAAGCGCAGCGAUGCGUUGAGCUAACCGGUACUAAUGAACCGUGAGGCUUAACCUU